AUAGUCCAGAAAUCAUCAAAACAUUAUUGAUGUGCAAUUCUGACUUAAGCCCUUUUUGCCAAACAUCAGAGAAUUACAAUCUGGUCAUAACUGACCAAUGAGCAAAUUUAAUUUAACCUAAAUUACUACUGUUCCUUAAAAUGAAGAGCUUACCCCAUAGCGUCUCUUAUCUAAUCUAACAAGAUCGUGCACUAUUCUAACAUACACAGGCACACAAGCACUACGCUCUGCUUUUCACUAUCACCUAUCACUCAAACUAGUUCAAAAGGCUUUGUCCUCUUCAAUCUUCUAGUUUGUCCAGUAGUAGAUAUCGAUGAGUGUGGAUUUCCUCAAUAUUCUCAUACUUAUGAAGUUGUUGUUGCUCAUUACUUCCUGCUAUCUUCUUGAUGACUAUAUUAUCCAGGUUCCAUUCCUAGGUCUUGAUAUUUGUUUAUAAAGUAAUAUCUUAUUAUGCAUCGACAAUGUUUAGUUUCUUCCAACUAGUCAAUACACUUUUUAUAGGUAUCUUUCUUUUGCCUUUCAUAGCCACAACAAGGCUAUAAUACGUUUCCUUCCUGGUUUUUUUGUAGACCACUUUCAGCUGAUUCUAAAAAAUUAAAAUGAAUGGUAAUUUUUCUAUUCUUUACAAUUAAAAAUCAAAAGAAAUAGGUACUACUAUUUACAGGUAAUAAUAUGCAUAAAUAAUUCGUUUCCUAAAGAAUACAGAAAAUUGAAAACGUUUUUAUAAUACUUACAUAAUUGUUUAAACAAAAGAGACCCAGCCAGAGCAAAACGCAAAACUAACAGACAGAACUGCAAAAAAAGCCACUAAUUUCCAUUUUCCCACCCCCUUAUCUUAUAUGCAUUUUCCAAUCAAAAUUUUUAGGUUGUCAUGAACAUGAAAGACUCAACCUCAACAAAUAAUAAUAAACAAAAAGCUCUACUUCCACUUCCCGCCAAAUGGACACAGAGAAGACAGCAAUUGCAAUUUUCAAGCAUAUCUAAAAUCUGCCAAAAUCUUUGUCACUCACUGAUUGACUUAAUGGCCAUUAGGGAAGAAAUAUUAGCCCACAGGUCCAGUAAUUGAAGAAAUAAUAAAUUCCACUGAUCACUGAUAGUAAGAAGUAUUAAAAGAAAAACAUUUAGUGAAUGAUGAAUUACGGGAUAUAUAUAAGGCCAAUAGUAGACAGGAUGUCUCCUAUGCAAAGGAACCAGAUAUUUUGGAUAAACAGGAAACAGAUAGCUUGUUGAAAAUCCUUGUAGGUGAGUGCAUUCUUGAUUAUAUAAAAGCCAUUCAGUGGGGCAGAACCCAUGAAAAAGAUGCCAUAGGCCCAUAGACAGCGCCGGAUAAAGGGGCGGGCGAGCCGGGCGACCGCCCGGGGCGCCGAAUUUCGAGGGGCGCCAAAUUUUGAAGGACGCCGAUACAAAAAUAUAUUUUUUUUCAUUCAUUAUUUU